UACGGAGGGUGCAAGCGUUAUCCGGAUUCACUGGGUUUAAAGGGUGCGUAGGAGGGCAGGUAAGUCAGUGGUGAAAUCUCCAAGCUUAACUUGGAAACUGCCGUUGAUACUAUCAGUCUUGAAUAUUGUGGAGGUGAGCGGAAUAUGUCAUGUAGCGGUGAAAUGCUUAGAUAUGACAUAGAACACCAAUUGCGAAGGCAGCUCACUACUCAAUCAUUGACUCUGAGGCACGAAAGCGUGGGGAGCAAACAGG
rnacentral:rRNA from 1 species